UACAGAGGUCUCGAGCGUUGUUCGGAUUCACUGGGCGUAAAGGGUGCGUAGGUGGCCAGGUAAGUUUGAUGUGAAAGCUCGGAGCUUAACUCCGAAAUGGCAUUGAAUACUGCUGAGCUGGAGGUUUGGAGGGGGGACUGGAAUUCUUGGUGUAGCAGUGAAAUGCGUAGAUAUCAAGAGGAACACCAGUGGCGAAGGCGAGUCCCUGGACAACACCUGACACUGAGGCACGAAAGCUAGGGGAGCAAACAGG
rnacentral:rRNA from 1 species